GAUGAACGCUGGCGGCGUGCCUAAUACAUGCAAGUCGAGCGAACAGACGAGGAGCUUGCUCCUCUGACGUUAGCGGCGGACGGGUGAGUAACACGUGGAUAACCUACCUAUAAGACUGGGAUAACUUCGGGAAACCGGAGCUAAUACCGGAUAAUAUAUUGAACCGCAUGGUUCAAUAGUGAAAGACGGUUUUGCUGUCACUUAUAGAUGGAUCCGCGCCGCAUUAGCUAGUUGGUAAGGUAACGGCUUACCAAGGCAACGAUGCGUAGCCGACCUGAGAGGGUGAUCGGCCAAACUGGAACUGAAGCACGGGCCAGGCUCCUACGGGAGGCAACAGUAGGGAAUCUUCCGCAAUGGGCGGAAGCUUGACGGAGCAACGCCGCGUGAGUGAUGAAGGUCUUCGGAUCGUAAAACUCUGUUAUUAGGGAAGAACAAAUGUGUAAGUAACUAUGCACGUCUUGACGGUACCUUAUCAGAAAGCCACGGCUAACUACGUG
rnacentral:rRNA from 1 species